CCUUGUGGAGGCCCAUGUCCCCUUUCUUCCCAUGCUUUUUCUUUUGGUCCUCUCCCCUCGUUAUUUUCAGUGCAUCCCUCUCUCCUUUUCCAGAUAGAGAGAGAGAGCCUGUAAAAGUCUCAGCUCUAAGCAAUCUCUAGUCACUCCCUCCUUUGUCAUAAAGCUACUGCCCUCAGAACAAGACAACUUCCAUCCCUCCAAAAUCCCACCACCCUUUUCAUUAUUGUAUUCUUAUAAUGACCUGUCUUUCAUCUUUCUUCCUUUUUUAACUUACCUCUUUUCUCUCUCUCUCUCUCUUGUUCCAUCUACUCCAUCCCCUUGUCUGUCCCCUCUUUUCCAUUUAUUAUUUAGUGGUGUACUGAUUGGGAACUUGAGUGCUUACAGGCCUUUGUUGCUUCUUGAACCUUGAGAAAGCUAGAUAGGUAGGCACACACACAAGAUGGAGCCUGCUAGGAAUUCAAGAGCCUCACUCAUAUAUAUAUAUAUAUAUAACAUGGUUGGAAGAAGCAACCUAAUUAAGUUCUAUCUCCCAAUAUAUAUAUCAUUCCUUUAUUUAGUAUUUAUAUAUAACCUUUCUUCUCUUAUAUUCAUUCCUAUUCUUUAGUGAGACAAAUAUUUAAAGCACUUAAUUAGCUAGGUGUUUGGAGCUUAGAUUUCUUGUGAGGCUUAUUUGCUUUUUUAACUUGUUGAAUUUGAAUCAUCUUGUGAAAAACAGACUCGAUCGUUAUUGAAGAAGGAAAGUAGGGUGUUUGGAAUGAAGUUUGAUCCGAAAUCAUUGUCUCAGUUUCAUUCAUUUAAUUUUAACUUUGCUUGUUGUCAGAGAGAGAGAGAUUUGUCAUGAUCUGAGAAGGAAAGGGGGUGUUUGGAAUGAGGUUUGAUCCAAGAUCAUCACAUCAUAUAUAUAUAUAUAUAUAUAUAUAUAUAUAUAUAUAUAUAUAUAUAUAUAUAUAUAUAUAUAUAUCUUCUUCAAUUUCCCUUUCCUUCUUGAUUUAAUUACUUACCUUCAUACAUAUACUGUUAUUAUUAUCAUCUCUUAAUUCAUGCAUUGGAUGGGACUGAUCUCGGACCAGGCUUCAUUCCUCACACCUAGCUUUCCUUGUAGAAGCAAUCAACCACAACAAGACAAAGGUAAUCCUUUUUUCCCCUCCGAUCCAAAAUCACAUAUGUGUCUAUCUAUCAGAUCUAAAUAGAUAAAUUCCUGCUUUCUAUGUCCUUUUAUGUUCUACCUAGCCAAAAAGAAUUUAUCCAGAUAUUGUGACAUUCAGUUUAUUUUCAUUUAUUAUUAUUAUUGCUCUUUGAAUGAGGAUGGAGUACUUAAAUUUAAUGUAUUUUCAAUAUUUAAUCUUAUGUAUUUGUAAGGAGCUUGCAACAACAAAAGAAGAAUACUUAUGCAUUUAUGACACCGAACAUUAGAUCAGCUAGAAUGGGAUUUGUUCUAGCUAAAUCUGGUCAAGUUAAUUUGAGUAUAAUAAAUCCAGUUUCGUUAAGAGUUGAUGAUUUGGAAAAUGUUGUUAUUUUUUGUCGUCUCGCAUAUUUGAACUGGAAGAGAGUGAUCAAAUCCAAGUAAGAAAUAAUCACUUCACUAUUUAUACAGCUUCUGAAAAUCAGCCGCAAAUUAUGAACACCGAGAAUCUCAAUCUAUAGAAACUAUUAGCACACCAUAUUCCAUGUUUUCUUAAUAAGUUUCUGGCUAAUACCAAAUUUAUUAUAUGUAAUCCAAUAUUAUUAGUUGAUUGAUACAUCUCCCACGCCCAACGGCGCCGCCAUCUUUGUCUUUAUCACGUUGAGAGAUGCUUAUACCAUAGCUACUACUACCUAUAUAUUCUAAGAAACCCUAGCUAGCCAGUUUUUUGUGACUUUCUAGCACAUGUUCAUCUUUUGUAUCAAUGAAGCUCAUUUUCAUAUGAUGAAUGAUAUCAUAAAAGGUUGACAUCCACUUUGCGGAAUUAUUGGUACGAUCCUGCUGCUCAAACAAGACAAGGGUAUAUAGGGUACACGGAAUCUCACUAUCUUCACGCGCGCUCUAUGUUUGUGAGAGAUAUUCCGAUUCCUUGGAAUAUAUCAUACUAAUAUAUAUAUAUAUAUAUAAUAUAAUGUAUUAUAAUAUAAUAUAGUGUAGUAUACUAUUACAUUUGUUUUAUGGCAAAGGUUAGCAACUUAUAUGCAUGCUUGAUAUGGAUAAAUUAAUAUUUUACUGAA